UGAACUCACCGGACAGAGUACUACCGAAAGUGACGGAGAUAGAGGAGGGAAGGAUAUUACUGAGAGGGAGAGAUCGCGAGAACGAAGGGGAGAUGGUGACGUAUGUAAGGGAUAAUAAGGCAAAUUUAUGAUCUUUCAUUUUAAAAUGUUUGCCACAUCAGCAUUUUUACCGGAAAACUGCCUAUCAAAGGUAAGUAGGACUUUAUUGUUACAAAAAAUAAUGUUUGAGUGGUUUUAUGAUACAAAAUUAAAAUUCGGGACAAUGUUGUUACAACAGUAGUUCAGAGACGUGUGAAAAUUAUCCCAAGUCUAACAUGAGAAAAUGACAAAAAAAGAGAUCCUCAUUAGCCACAUAUCUUAGGAAAUUG
rnacentral:misc_RNA from 1 species